CAUUCGGAAGGGAAGGUACCUGUGCACUUCACCAGACCUGUAGACUGUACCAGUACGUUGCAGAGUGAGCCUUCCCUCCACCGGUCGCUCCUAGCCCGGACUAGGCGGCCUCCCAGUCUCCACCGGGCCGGGGCUGCCCACCCCCAAGUCCCCAACUGCAUCCGCGCCGCCGCCAUCCGUCGCAGUCGCAGUCGCACUGCUGGCUGCCCGCCGUACCGUACCAACAAGCUUCUUCUACUUCUCUUCCUCGCCCAGUCUCCCCUCCUUCCCUACCAUCCCCGCAUUUCGAAAGGAGCUAGCUAAGCUAGCGCACCGGCCUGCUUCCCUUCCCUCCCGCCGUCCGCGCUUCUUCCAUUUCCCUUCGCAACGGCCUCUCGGUCACACCCGAGCCCGUAGCUGCGCCGUACUCCGUCCGUCCGUCCGUGCCACACCGCCACCCACCAGGCCAGAGCCAACCGGGAGUGGCCACGCAGAGUGGUUUUGGCGGCUUGCUGGCUAGCUCUGCCUCUGCCCGCCACCUCGGACCAGCCAGUGUCCAUGCCGCGGAUGGCCAAGCUGCUGCUCCAGCUGAAGGCGGCGGCGGACAGGAGGCACGGCCCCGGCCCCGGCCGGCGCCACCCGCUCGCGCCCCGCCACGCGGCCGCGUCCGCCACCAGAUUCGUGCCCGCCUGCCUCGCCCUCGCCGCCGCCGCCACCACGCUCGUCGCGCUGGCGCUCACGCUGCAGAAUCGCGGCCUCGGCCCCGCCGACCCCUCUCCCUCCUCCGUCUCGCCACGCGGCGGCGGCUUCGCGGUGGUUGUCAACACGUGGAGGCGGCCCGCGCUGCUGCGGAGGUCCGUGGCGCACUACGCGGCCUGCGGGGGCGUGGACGCCGUCCACGUGGUGUGGAGCGAGCCGCGGCCGCCGCCGGAACCCCUGCGCCGGGGCGUCCUCGGGCUCGGCGGCGCCCGGCGGCGCGUGCGGUUCGAGAUCAACGCGGGCGACAGCCUCAACAACAGGUUCAGGCCCAUCCGGGCGCUCGAGUCGGACGCCGUCUUCUCCGUCGACGACGACCUCAUCGUCCCCUGCUCCGCGCUGCGCUUCGCCUUCUCCGUCUGGCGGACCGCGCCCUCCGCCAUGGUCGGCUUCGUGCCGCGGAUGCACUGGCCUACCGACCCGAGAAGCACUGAAGAUGCAUACCGAUACGGAAGCUGGUGGUCAGUUUGGUGGACAGGGACAUACAGCAUGGUUCUUUCCAAAGCGGGGUUCUUCCACAAGAAGUACCUGGAAAUGUACACCAACCAGAUGCCACCGUCCAUUCGCAGAUAUGUGGAUGAGAACAGGAACUGUGAGGACAUCGCCAUGGCUUUUCUUGUUGCAAAUGCUACUGGAGCCCCGCCUAUAUGGGUGCAAGGAAGGAUAUUUGAGAUUGGAUCGAGCGGCAUCAGCAGCCUGAAAGGCCAUGGCUUGCAGAGAUCAAGGUGCCUCAACGCGUUCGCCGCCAUGUACGGCCACAUGCCGCUCGUAGCCACCACAGUCAAGGCCGUGGACAGCCGCGGGAGCUGGUUCUGGUGAUAAAGAUAUGUGCCUCUUUUUUCUGUACAUCCUAGCCUUGCCUCUAGUCUACAUUGUUUAUAUAGCAGAGUUUGAAACCAGAGAUAAGAAUGAGUAGGCUAGUGUGUCUGUGCAUAAUUCAUCCGCACCUUAGAACACAGGCUAUAUAGAUUUUACAGAUGGAACUGAGACGCAGUGAUUAUAUCCAUAUUGCUGUUGGAGCCUUAGUCCAACAUCAGGAUCAGCUAAGGCCCUGUUUGGUUCCUUUAGUUAGUAGGUAACUAUGUGCAAGGAGAUUGUUUAUGUAUGUGAGACAGUAAUUAUUAAUUCAAUGAAUGAAAUUUAUGGUGGUGGUCUGUCUCUCUCCUCUAUUUUGUGUGGAGGAUCGACUAUUUUGUGUGCGCCUGGCUGCCUGCCAAGAUCCUGAUGCUGUCCAGUUCAGUGAUCAGUGGGCUAACUUUUAUGUGGCUGUGACGGCCGAAACAGGAUAGUGAGGAUAAGGGGGGCACUCUUUCGUUGGGCCAGCGCUGCAUGCUUCCUUGCUUGCUUUUUUGUCGCGCCUGCUUCUCCCCCCUCUGCCUCUUGGUGCUGCUUCCUGGUGGGGGAAGGGAAGGAGAAGGCUGUGUGCGUCCUGCGCCGAUAACGCGAUGGUGUCCAUUGUCACUGAGGUAUGGGCGCUCGCUGGAUGCGGCCCGGCGUCCAAGGCGGCGGCGGUAGCGGUAGCGGCGCAGGAGUUGCCGGCGCAGCAUCCUUCUCCUGCCGCAGCGGGAGGAGGGAAGGCCAAGAAGAGAGCCGUGCCAGUGUCGUUCAGAGGCGUCAGCAGCGGCGGUGGUCAGGACCACCAGCGUGAGGCCGCCGCCGUCGUCGUCGGGCGGCGGCGCGGCCUCGCGUCGUGCGCGCUCGCCGCCGUCGCCGCCUCGUUCUCCGCCCGCGCUGACCGCCCCGCGCGGGCGCUUGUCCUCGAGGAAGACGACGACAUCGAGCUGCUGGAGCGCGUGAAGGAGGACAGGAAGAAGCGGCUGCAGAAGCAGGGCAUCAUCAGCUCCUCCGGCGCCGAGACCGGGUAUUUGCAGGACCUCAUCUACAGGCUCAGCAAAGUCGGGCAGGCCAUUGACAACGACGACCUCCCAGCCGCGAGCAGCGUGCUGGGACCAAGCUCAGACGCCCAGUGGGUGCAGAACAUCAAUGCAGCUUUCUCCAAGCUCAGCUCAAGCCCGGAGCAGAGGAACGUGGUCGACAGCUUCAACAGCUCGCUGGCCACACUGUUUACAUCAGUGAGCAAGCUCGACCCUGAAUCCUCCAAGUCGGCGUUCGUGUCGUCCGCGACGGCGUUGGAGAAAUGGAUCGCGUUAGCUGGACUGGGCGGCCAGCUCAAGGGCUACUGAUGCGUGCGAGGGGAAGAGAAGCACUGGGUUGUUCUAUGUUUGGGUCCGGCAUUUGUGAAUCUCCUGAAGAGGGUACCGUGACCGAGAACUGAGUUCAGAUAGGCAUGCUAUGCUCAUCAAGAAACUGUGACUGUUUUUGAGACUCUGCUGUUACUUACAAGUGGUAGGAAACGAAGUUGUCUUGUAUCUUGUUGUCCAGUUUAACUUUCGAAAUUCCAAAGCAGCUGGCGUUUAUUUUUUUUAAA